GGCCAGACUCCUACGGGAGGCAGCAGUGGGGGAUAUUGCACAAUGGGGGAAACCCUGAUGCAGCGACGCCGCGUGGGCGAAGAAGUAUUUCGGUAUGUAAAGCCCUAUCAGCAGGGAAGAAGAAAUGACGGUACCUGAGUAAGAAGCCCCGGCUAACUACGUGCCAGCAGCCGCGGUAAUACGUAGGGGGCAAGCGUUAUCCGGAUUUACUGGGUGUAAAGGGAGCGUAGACGGCAUGGCAAGUCUGAUGUGAAAACCCGGGGCUCAACCCCGGGACUGCUCUGGAAACUGUACGGCUGGAGUGCAGGAGAGGUAAGUGGAAUUCCUAGUGUAGCGGUGAAAUGCGUAGAUAUUAGGAGGAACACCAGUGGCGAAGGCGGCUUACUGGACUGUAACUGACGUUGAGGCUCGAAAGCGUGGGGAGCAAACAGGAUUAGAUACCCGCGUAUC
rnacentral:rRNA from 1 species